GUUGCAGGCACGCAGAGAGCAGCCCCUGCCUCUGAAUUAGGAGGAUUUAUUGCUGUGCUCUGCUUUUCCCUUCUCCCGACACGUCUGCACUCCUUCUGCAUGACCCGGGAGGUUGGUUUUGUCCCACCAGAGAAGUGAUCUGGGUCCGAUCACGCUGCGCAGAGACAGCACCGUGCUUAAGCGACCAGCUGCCAGCCCCAGGGCUGAGCCUCACCGCGCUGAAACCAGACCAGGGGGCUCCUCAGGGCCACGUCUCAAAGGCAGAGAAUGUGGAAAGUGCCCCCUUGCCUCCAGCACUCUUGCUUCUGUCCCUGUUCUACAGCACCCACCACCCCGUGCUGGGCGAAGGGCCGGAGCGACGCUCAGACCUCCCCCCCCCCCCUCCCCUGUCACAGCCAAGGGUCUCUCCAUUGAAGUUUACUUGACGUUCUAAUAAAAUCUCCAAGC
rnacentral:lncRNA from 1 species